rnacentral:lncRNA from 1 species
UCCAAACUACAUUAAGCAAGCAGGUAAUUGGGUAAAUGAACUAUGUAUACAAAGAAAAGAGUGUUUCACAAGUUAAGUAAAACCUACCUCGUCGGAGGAUGCUUCGCUCAUUUCGUUAGAAUUUGGAUUUGUUUCAUCAUGAAGAAGUGAACAGUUGAAAACCUGUAGAGUUUAUCUUCCUCUGAGGAGUAUGUUUUGCCAUAUUUUUUGCUCCAAAGUUCGAACAGUUCAAAGCAUUCCGCAUC